UCUAUGUGGUUAUAACCAUCUCUUCAGAUGAGAGAAGAGCAGGGGAUGUUGCACACCUGACUUCAGUGAGGCUUUUAACACUGUUUGUGGCAGUGUGCUUGUAAUGGUGCUUGUCGAGAGUGAGAUUGGUGAUUGAGGGAGGAUGGGCAGGCUCAGCAGUGUAGUCAGAAGCUGUAAUGAUGUUGUUAUGUGGGGUGGGUACUGCAUCUUACUGUGCUUAUUUUUCAUCAGUGACCUGGAUGAAGAGAGAGGGAGCUGAUGAUGUGAAGCUGGGAGGAGCAGCUGACAGCAGGACCCAGUGAACUUCAAGGAGAGCAGGUAUGAGGCUGCACAGCUAACAUGCACUAUAUGUUAGUGAGUGGCCUGCUGGAAAGGAAACCUGAGGGGGACUUGGUGUUCAGCUGCGAGCCAGCAGGGUGCCCCACAAAGCAAAUUCUAUCCUGGGCUGUAUGAAAAUGAGAGCAAUAGGGUUCCACCCCGGUGAGCCUGUGUCUGGACUACUGCAUUCACUUCUUUGUCUCUACAGGUCAACAAGAUGAGAAACUUGUACAGAGUGCAGUAGUUGCAGUAGUGCAACAAAGAACAUGAGGAGCUUGGAGCAUCUCCCUUCUGAGGAAAGGAUGUUCACCAACCUAUGGCUGCUUUACCAAGAGAAGGGAAGGGUGAAGGCUGCAGACAAGUUUGUUUUGCUUUUUGCAAGGAUUGCCUGAACAUGAGGUUUCAUCAGCGCUCUUUUAGGUUCAGUGCUGGAGCAAGGAUCCUGGUAGCAACUGCUGCCUCUGCAGAGAGAGGUGAGUUUUUUGUGUUUUGAGCAGUGCCUGCAGCGGAGAUUCAGCAGCCCUUGUUCAGGAGUUUGGAGUGUUCUGAAGAGGAAGGUCAGAAUUUUUGAUGGGGAGCUGCACUCUAUCAAGAUGAAGUGCAAGUGGCUGAUGAGGUACAUGGUGUCUGUGGCCUUUUUUUUUUUUUUUUUUUUUUUAGUAGAUUUUGAAGUUGGUUGGGUUUGAGGUGAGUGGUUAUGUUUAUUUGGUGUUGGUGGCUGUGUUGUCCUGUGUCUGGGAG